rnacentral:rRNA from 1 species
CAGUCGCCGCGGGAAUACGAGGGGGGCAAGCGUUGUUCGGAAUUAUUGGGCGUAAAGGGUGCGUAGGCGGCUUGACAAGACUUGUGUGAAAUCUAUGGGCUCAACCCAUAGUCUGCACGGGAAACUGUCGGGCUUGAGAAUGGGAGAGGUGAGUGGAAUUUCCGGUGUAGCGGUGAAAUGCGUAGAUAUCGGGAGGAACAUCAGUGGCGAAGGCGGCCAUCUGGGACAACACUGACGCUGAGGCACGAAAGCGUGGGGAGCAAACAGGAUUAGAUACCCCCGAGUCCCUGUCUCUUAUACC